GGCUGUGCUCCUGGCGGACAUCCUCCCCACACUCGUCAUCAAAUUGUUGGCUCCUCUUGGCCUUCACCUGCUGCCCUACACCCCCGGGUUCUCGUCAGUGGGAUUUGUGCUGCUGGAAGCUUCGUCCUGGUUGCCUUUUCUCAUUCUGUGGGGACCAGCCUGUGUGCUCCAGCUCCAGCCUCUCCCUUCGGGAAAGGUGGACAGUGUUCAAGGUCUGCUGUGGUACAUUGUUCCCUUGGUCGUAGUUUACUUUGCCGAGUAUUUCAUUAACCAGGGACUUUUGAACUCCUCUUUUUCUGGAACACUUCCCUGAGUCACGCUCAGCAAUA
rnacentral:lncRNA from 1 species